rnacentral:rRNA from 1 species
UACGUAGGGUGCAAGCGUUGUCCGGAAUUAUUGGGCGUAAAGAGCUCGUAGGCGGUUUGUCGCGUCUGCUGUGAAAACGCGAGGCUCAACCUCGCGCCUGCAGUGGGUACGGGCAGACUAGAGUGCGGUAGGGGAGAUUGGAAUUCCUGGUGUAGCGGUGGAAUGCGCAGAUAUCAGGAGGAACACCGAUGGCGAAGGCAGGUCACUGGGCCGCAACUGACGCUGAGGAGCGAAAGCAUGGGGAGCGAACAGG